AAACAAAUAAAAAACAUGAAGAUAGAGAUAAACAACAGGCGGCCUUAUCGCUACAGAGCGAUCUCUUCCAGACAACCUUUAGGUAGUCCACUUUUAGUGUUUAGCAGUAACGCUUUGGUUUACUGCGACAUAAUGCAUAUUGCUUGUCUCAGCGAUAACUAGACAUGUAUAAAAUAGGAUGUUUUAUAUAAUAAACGGACUCUUACACCGACAACUGCCCUUUACUUAACUACUCCGUCACCCUGUUCCGCUCGUAACAUACACAAGUUCACUACGUUUAUUACAUGGCCACCCUCGCAAUUAAGGACCAACGGAAUCUGUAACCGAAGACUCAAGAAAGAAGCCCUGCACCAGUGGAUCCUAAAGAAGAAAUUUACGCAGUCAGACAGCCACAUAUUCAAGAAAGAAGACAGCCACAUAUUCAAGAAAGAAGAUCCUUACGAACGUAGAAACAAUGGCAGCACAAAUAACACUUCGCAUCAACGGCGUCAACAUCACCUUAAUGGGCCCUAUCACGAACCUCACCGUCACCGUCACGGGAGAUCAAGCAACCAUACAGAUCAACAACCAGUCACGGGAGACCAGUCAACUAUACAGAUCACGAGUCAAGAAGAACCCGGCGAACCACAGAUGAUGGACUACACAGCCAACCAGCCAGCCCAAGACUCAAGCAGUCAACGAGUCAGAAAGCAACCACAGAACACGAGACCACUGCCGAGGAGCCCCCACCCACGGACCAUUCAGGAAAUGCGCGAGAGGAGGCAACGCCUCUUCGGCCAGGAGCCGAACGCGGACCAGCGGUGACAGCAAGCCCUACAGGAACCGAUUCCACCGCCGCUACGCCAGCCGUGUCAGCACGCAGGACUAGGACGAGGAAGAGGACGACUUGCCGACCAUAACUCAUCACCAGGACCCACCACGGAAUUAAGGAAAUAAGGGUACAAUUAUUUUUUUUAUAUACAUAGGUAUUGUUUUAAAAAUGUUAAAUUAACAAAUUAUUAUUAUCAUUUUUGCAUUUCAAAUAAACGAGUUGUCGCUGAA